rnacentral:snRNA from 2 species
AUCGCUUCUCGGCCUUUUGGCUAAGAUCAUUUGUAGUUUCUGUUCUUAUCAGCUUAAUAUCUGAUACGGGCCUAAUUGGUCCAAGAUAUUAAACUUAUUUUUGCAAUAGGCCAUAUGCGAAAUUUA